rnacentral:rRNA from 1 species
GAUGAACGCUAGCUACAGGCUUAACACAUGCAAGUCGAGGGGAAACGAUAGAGAAAGCUUGCUUUUUCUAGGCGUCGACCGGCGCACGGGUGAGUAACGCGUAUCCAACCUGCCCACCACUUGGGGAUAACCUUGCGAAAGUAAGACUAAUACCCAAUGACGUCUCUAGAAGACAUCUGAAAGAGAUUAAAGAUUUAUCGGUGAUGGAUGGGGAUGCGUCUGAUUAGCUUGUUGGCGGGGUAACGGCCCACCAAGGCGACGAUCAGUAGGGGUUCUGAGAGGAAGGUCCCCCACAUUGGAACUGAGACACGGUCCAAAACUCCUACGGGAGGCAGCAGUGAGGAAUAUUGGUCAAUGGGACGAGAGUCUGAACCAGCCAAGUAGCGUGCAGGAUGACGGCCCUAUGGGUUGUAAACUGCUUUUUAUAAGGGAUAAAACCUCCCACGUGUGGGAGCUUGUAUGUACCUUAUGAAUAAGCAUCGGCUAACUCCGUGCCAGCAGCCG